AACGAACGCUGGCGGCAUGCCUAACACAUGCAGGUCGAACGAGACCUUCGGGUCUAGUGGCGCACGGGUGCGUAACGCGUGGGAACCUGCCUUUAGGUCCGGAAUAACUCAGAGAAAUUUGAGCUAAUACCGGAUGAUGUCUUCGGACCAAAGAUUUAUCGCCUUUAGAUGGGCCCGCGUUGGAUUAGCUAGUUGGUGGGGUAAAGGCCUACCAAGGCGACGAUCCAUAGCUGGUCUGAGAGGAUGAUCAGCCACACUGGGACUGAGACACGGCCCAGACUCCUACGGGAGGCAGCAGUGGGGAAUAUUGGACAAUGGGCGAAAGCCUGAUCCAGCAAUGCCGCGUGAGUGAUGAAGGCCUUAGGGUUGUAAAGCUCUUUUACCCGAGAUGAUAAUGACAGUAUCGGGAGAAUAAGCUCCGGCUAACUCCGUG
rnacentral:rRNA from 1 species